UACGAAGGGGGCUAGCGUUGUUCGGAAUCACUGGGCGUAAAGCGCACGCAGGCGGAUCGUUAAGUCAGGGGUGAAAUGCCGAGGCUCAACCUCGGAACUGCCUUUGAUACUGGCGAUCUUAGAGUCCGGGAGAGGUGAGUGGAACUCCGAGUGUAGAGGUGAAAUUCGUAGAUAUUCGGAAGAACACCAGUGGCGAAGGCGGACUCACUGGCCCGGUACUGACGCUCAGGUGCGAAAGCGUGGGGAGC
rnacentral:rRNA from 1 species